rnacentral:rRNA from 1 species
CUAGAGACGCUGGCGGCGUGCCUAAUACAUGCAAGUCGAACGAACUCUCCUGUUGAUUGGUGUUGCUUCAUGAUUUACACCUUGAGUGAGUGGCGGACUGGUGAGUAACACGUGGGUAACCUGCCCAAAAGUGGGGGAUAAAUUUGGAAAACAGAUGCUAAUACCGCAUAACACUACUUUCGCUGGUCCUAACUUGGAAGAUGGGUCUGCUAUAUCUUUUGGAUGGACCCCCCGGCGUAUUUACUAGUUGGGGGGGGUAACGGCUCCAAGGCAAUGAUACGUAACCGACCUGAAAGGGUAAUCCGCCCAUUGGGACUGAAAACGGCCCAAACUCCUACGGGAGGGCACAGUAGGGAAUCCUCCCAAUGGGACAAAGCCCGAUGGAACAAUGCCCCGUGGAUGAAAAAAGGUUUCCGAUCGUAAAACUCUGGUGGUUAAAAAGAACCUGCUUGAAAAUAACUGGUCCCGUACUGGCCGUAAUCUACCCAAAAGCCCCGCU